GAUGAACGCUAGCGGCAGGCUUAACACAUGCAAGUCGAGGGGUAGCAGGGAUUAGUUUACUAAUUUGCUGACGACCGGCGCACGGGUGAGUAACGCGUAUACAAUUUACCUUUUACAGGGGAAUAGCCCAGAGAAAUUUGGAUUAAUGCCUCAUAGUAUUAUUAGAUCGCAUGGUUUGAUAAUUAAAGUUUCGGCGGUAAAAGAUGAGUAUGCGUUCUAUUAGCUAGAUGGUAAGGUAACGGCUUACCAUGGCGACGAUAGAUAGGGGCCCUGAGAGGGGGAUCCCCCACACUGGUACUGAGACACGGACCAGACUCCUACGGGAGGCAGCAGUGAGGAAUAUUGGGCAAUGGAGGCAACUCUGACCCAGCCAUGCCGCGUGCAGGAAGACGGCCCUAUGGGUUAUAAACUGCUUUUAUAUAGGAAGAA
rnacentral:rRNA from 1 species